rnacentral:misc_RNA from 1 species
CUGCCAAGAUCUUGGACCCACUUUAUUGGUCAUGCCAUCUAAAUCUACGCGUCCAAUUUGGAAAGAUUUACUAUGUGGAGUUCUGUUCCGUCUGUCAUCUCCAUAUGCAUCUAUUAAAGCUCUGGGUCCUUGACGCUCAUGUCCAUUGGAUAAGCCAUGUGCAAUAGAAGCUUCCAAUCGGUUAUGGUUAUCAUCAGAAUAGUGUUUUCUUCUCCAUUCAUUUGUCUCUUCAUCUCUGCCAAUCACUUUAACAUUUCCAUAAUUGAGCACUGGAUGAGAUGGAG